rnacentral:rRNA from 1 species
AUUGAACGCUGGCGGAAUGCUUUACACAUGCAAGUCGAACGGCAGCACGGACUUCGGUCUGGUGGCGAGUGGCGAACGGGUGAGUAAUGUAUCGGAACGUGCCCAGUCGUGGGGGAUAACGUAGUGAAAAUUACGCUAAUACCGCAUACGAUCUAUGGAUGAAAGCGGGGGAUCGCAAGACCUCGCGCGAUUGGAGCGGCCGAUAGCAGAUUAGGUAGUUGGUGGGGUAAAGGCCCACCAAGCCAACGAUCUGUAGCUGGUCUGAGAGGACGACCAGCCACACUGGAACUGAGACACGGUCCAGACUCCUACGGGAGGCAGCAGUGGGGAAUUCUGGACAAUGGGCGAAAGCCUGAUCCAGCCAUUCCGCGUGCAGGAUGAAGGCCCUCGGGUUGUAAACUGCUUUUGUACAGAGCGAAAAGGUUUCUACUAAUACUAGGAGCUCAUGACGGUACUGUAAGAAUAAGCACCGGCUAACUACGUGCCAGCCGCCGCAGUAA